rnacentral:rRNA from 1 species
UACACACCGCCCGUCACACCAUGGAAGUUGUUGCACCAGAAGUAGGUAGCCUAACCGCAAGGAGGGCGCUUACCACGGUGUGGCCAAUGACUGGGGUG